AUACAGAGGGUGCAAGCGUUAUCCGGAAUUACUGGGCGUAAAGCGCGCGUAGGCGGAUGAUUAAGUCAGUUGUGAAAGCCCUGGGCUCAACCUAGGAACUGCAUCUGAUACUGGUCAUCUAGAGUUUAAGAGAGGGAAGUGGAAUUCCAGGUGUAGCAGUGAAAUGCGUAGAUAUCUGGAGGAACAUCAGUGGCGAAGGCGACUUCCUGGCUUAGAACUGACGCUGAGGUGCGAAAGCGUGGGUAGCGAACGGGAUUAGAUACCCUAGUAGUCC
rnacentral:rRNA from 1 species